GACGAACGCUGGCGGCGUGCCUAAUACAUGCAAGUUGAGCGCUGAAGGUUGGUACUUGUCCCAACUGGAUGAGCAGCGAACGGGUGAGUAACGCGUGGGGAAUCUGCCUUUGAGCGGGGGACAACAUUUGGAAACGAAUGCUAAUACCGCAUAAAAACUUUAAACACAAGUUUUAAGUUUGAAAGAUGCAAUUGCAUCACUCAAAGAUGAUCCCGCGUUGUAUUAGCUAGUUGGUGAGGUAAAGGCUCACCAAGGCGAUGAUACAUAGCCGACCUGAGAGGGUGAUCGGCCACAUUGGGACUGAGACACGGCCCAAACGCCUACGGGAGGCAGCAGUAGGGAAUCUUCGGCAAUGGACGAAAGUCUGACCGAGCAACGCCGCGGGAGUGAAGAAGGUUUUCGGAUCGUAAAACUCUGUUGGUAGAGAAGAACGUUGGUGAGAGUGGAAAGCUCAUCAAGUGACGGUAACUACCCAGAAAGGGACGGCUAACUACGUG
rnacentral:rRNA from 1 species